GACGAACGCUGGCGGCGUGCUUAACACAUGCAAGUCGAACGGAAAGGCCCUGCUUUUGUGGGGUGCUCGAGUGGCGAACGGGUGAGUAACACGUGAGUAACCUGCCCUUGACUUUGGGAUAACUUCAGGAAACUGGGGCUAAUACCGGAUAGGAGCUCCUGCUGCAUGGUGGGGGUUGGAAAGUUUCGGCGGAUGGGGAUGGACGCGCGGCUUAUCAGCUUGUUGGUGGGGUAGUGGCUUACCAAGGCUUUGACGGGUAGCCGGCCUGAGAGGGUGACCGGCCACAUUGGGACUGCGAUACGGCCCAGACUCCUACGGGAGGCAGCAGUGGGGAAUAUGGCACAAUGGUCGGAAGCCUGAUGCAGCAACGUCGCAUGCGGGAUGACGGCCUUCGUGUUGUAAACCGCUUUCGCCUGUGACGAAGCUUGAGUGACGGUAAUGGGUAAAGAAGCACCGGCUAACUACGUG
rnacentral:rRNA from 1 species